rnacentral:rRNA from 1 species
AGCUUGCUAAGGCUGAUGGCGACCGGCGCACGGGUGAGUAACACGUAUCCAACCUGCCGUCUACUCUUGGCCAGCCUUCUGAAAGGAAGAUUAAUCCAGGAUGGGAUCAUGAGUUCACAUGUCCGCAUGAUUAAAGGUAUUUUCCGGUAGACGAUGGGGAUGCGUUCCAUUAGAUAGUAGGCGGGGUAACGGCCCACCUAGUCAACGAUGGAUAGGGGUUCUGAGAGGAAGGUCCCCCACAUUGGAACUGAGACACGGUCCAAACUCCUACGGGAGGCAGCAGUGAGGAAUAUUGGUCAAUGGGCGAUAGCCUGAACCAGCCAAGUAGCGUGAAGGAUGACUGCCCUAUGGGUUGUAAACUUCUUUUAUAUAAGAAUAAAGUGCAGUAUGUAUACUGUUUUGUAUGUAUUAUAUGAAUAAGGAUCGGCUAACUCCGUGCCAGCAGCCGCGGUAAUACGGAGGAUCCGAGCGUUAUCCGGAUUUAUUGGGUUUAAAGGGAGCGUAGGUGGACUGGUAAGUCAGUUGUGAAAGUUUGCGGCUCAACCGUAAAAUUGCAGUUGAUACUGUCAGUCUUGAGUACAGUAGAGGUGGGCGGAAUUCGUGGUGUAGCGGUGAAAUGCUUAGAUAUCACGAA